GCUCAGGAUGAACGCUGGCGGCGUGCUUAACACAUGCAAGUCGAACGAUGAUCCGGUGCUUGCACCGGGGAUUAGUGGCGAACGGGUGAGUAACACGUGAGUAACCUGCCCUUAACUCUGGGAUAAGCCUGGGAAACUGGGUCUAAUACCGGAUAUGACUCCUCAUCGCAUGGUGGGGGGUGGAAAGCUUUUUGUGGUUUUGGAUGGACUCGCGGCCUAUCAGCUUGUUGGUGAGGUAAUGGCUUACCAAGGCGACGACGGGUAGCCGGCCUGAGAGGGUGACCGGCCACACUGGGACUGAGACACGGCCCAGACUCCUACGGGAGGCAGCAGUGGGGAAUAUUGCACAAUGGGCGCAAGCCUGAUGCAGCGACGCCGCGUGAGGGAUGACGGCCUUCGGGUUGUAAACCUCUUUCAGUAGGGAAGAAGCGAAAGUGACGGUACCUGCAGAAGAAGCGCCGGCUAACUACGUGCCAGCAGCCGCGGUAAUACGUAGGGCGCAAGCGUUAUCCGGAAUUAUUGGGCGUAAAGAGCUCGUAGGCGGUUUGUCGCGUCUGCCGUGAAAGUCCGGGGCUCAACUCCGGAUCUGCGGUGGGUACGGGCAGACUAGAGUGAUGUAGGGGAGACUGGAAUUCCUGGUGUAGCGGUGAAAUGCGCAGAUAUCAGGAGGAACACCGAUGGCGAAGGCAGGUCUCUGGGCAUAA
rnacentral:rRNA from 1 species